GUUUAUGGCCAUACCACCCUAAACAUGCCAAAUCUCAUCUGGUCUCAGAAGUUAAGCAGGGUCAGGCCUGGUUAGUACUUGGAUGGGAAACAGAUCAGAAGAGACAGCUCAGAGAUAAACA
rnacentral:rRNA from 1 species